CACGUAGGGUGCGAGCGUUGUCCGGAAUUAUUGGGCGUAAAGAGCUCGUAGGCGGUGUGUCGCGUCGGCCGUGAAAACCUGCAGCUUAACUGUGGGCUUGCGGUCGAUACGGGCAUCACUGGAGUUCGGCAGGGGAGACUGGAAUUCCUGGUGUAGCGGUGAAAUGCGCAGAUAUCAGGAGGGAACACCGGUGGCGAAGGC
rnacentral:rRNA from 1 species